CACGUAGGGUGCGAGCGUUGUCCGGAAUUAUUGGGCGUAAAGAGCUCGUAGGCGGUGUGUCGCGUCGGCCGUGAAAACCUGCAGCUUAACUGUGGGCUUGCGGUCGAUACGGGCAUCACUGGAGUUCGGCAGGGGAGACUGGAAUUCCUGGUGUAGCGGUGAAAUGCGCAGAUAUCAGGAGGAACACCGGUGGCGAAGGCGGGUAUCUGGCUCAACACUGACACUUAGACCCGAAAGCGUGGGGAUCAAACAGG
rnacentral:rRNA from 1 species